rnacentral:rRNA from 1 species
GAUGAACGCUGGCGGCGUGCCUAAUACAUGCAAGUCGAGCGAACAGACGAGGAGCUUGCUCCUUUGACGUUAGCGGCGGACGGGUGAGUAACACGUAGGUAACCUACCUAUAAGACUGGGAUAACUUCGGGAAACCGGAGCUAAUACCGGAUAAUAUUUCGAACCGCAUGGUUCGAUAGUGAAAGAUGGCUUUGCUAUCACUUAUAGAUGGACCUGCGCCGUAUUAGCUAGUUGGUAAGGUAACGGCUUACCAAGGCAACGAUACGUAGCCGACCUGAGAGGGUGAUCGGCCACACUGGAACUGAGACACGGUCCAGACUCCUACGGGAGGCAGCAGUAGGGAAUCUUCCGCAAUGGGCGAAAGCCUGACGGAGCAACGCCGCGUGAGUGAUGAAGGUCUUCGGAUCGUAAAACUCUGUUACUAGGGAAGAACAAACGUGUAAGUAACUGUGCACGUCUUGACGGUACCUAAUCAGAAAGCCACGGCUAACUACGUG